UAGGAGAGACAGGGUUUGGACACCCUCCCAGAACCCAGGAUAACUCUGAAAGUGGAGGGGAG
rfam:Mus musculus chromosome 3, GRC primary reference assembly.